GACGGAGGAUGCAAGCGUUAUCCGGAAUGAUUGGGCGUAAAGCGUCCGCAGGUGGCUAUGUAAGUCUGCUGUUAAAGAGUGAGGCUCAACCUCAUAAGAGCAGUGGAAACUACAUGGCUAGAGUGCGUUCGGGGCAGAGGGAAUUCCGGGUGUAGUGGUGGAAUGCGUAGAGAUCCGGAGGAACACCAGCGGCGAAGGCGGCAUCCUGGACUGGUCCUGACACUCAGGAGCGAAAGCGUGGGGAGCGAUCCGG
rnacentral:rRNA from 1 species